rnacentral:misc_RNA from 1 species
AUGUCGUUCACCAUAUCCGCCCUACACAAAGCCUAACAGUUUUUUUCUUUCUGUGCCUCUCUUUUCCCCCAGCGACAACCUUUUCACUGCUCCUCCCCCCCGCGGCUCUGUCGUCAGCCUCCCUCACACGUUGCUGCAAGCCCACACACUGGGCAAGCACAGGUGCUCGCUCCAUCAGGAACACGCACGGAGAAAAGGUACUCAUCAAGUAGCGGAAAAACAAAAGUCCCGAAACACGCGGCGCCAGCACGUGUUUUCUCUCCGCCUCUCCCCUGCUCGACCGCUUCCGCACGUCUCACAUUCUGCUUUUCGCUCACCGUUGUUCCCUUGCGAAUCGGAACUCCCGCCUUCUGUUUUUAUUAUUAUUAUUUCCUCUCUGUGCUUAUACGUCGCCUCGUGUGCACGUGCGACUUGCACUUGACGACGCCGUCUCUGCUUGCGUUCACAUCUCCAGCUUGCACUCUUUUUCUUUUAUGUAACGAUGACACUGAACUUCGACAUUCUUGCCGGCAACAACGUUGACUGGGGCUUCGAGUGCCUUCCUACUGCUCCUGAGCGUAGCCCUGCCCCUGCCCUCUUCACGCCCUUCGGCGUCACAGCCGGCACCGAGUCGGACUUGAUGAUGGCGAGCGCUUUGCAGGCACCCGCACCGCGCGUCAUGUCCAGGUCGCUGCAGGCCAUGACCCAGAGCGUGCCGUUAAGCGACUACGGUGAGAAUGUGUCGCCGAUGAAGAACGACUCGCUCAACAUGUCGGUGCAGGCAAGCGACCCCGCUGCGCGUGCCUAUGACAGCAACUUGUACGUUGCGUCUCUACCCGAGUGGUUUACGGAUGCCGACCUGCACGAGCUGUUCAAGCGCUUUGGCCCCAUCGUUUCUGCCAAGGUCAUGUGCCACAAGGGAACGCACCACUGCAAGGGCUACGGCUUCGUGCUGUUCCAGCGCACCGACGACGCGGCAGUCGCGCGAUCGGAGAUGAUUGGUCACGUAGUGGGCGGCAAUAAGAUCCAGGUUCGUCGUGCCCGCUCUGCCGCCAGUGCCCCUCUCACAGAGGCCGCUUCCGCUGUGAGCGGCACCUUUACUGAGUCCCCCGGCUCGACGCGCGCGUCGUCGUCGAACGUGACGCCCAUCAACUAUGCCGCGCACGUGGUGCCGGCCCAGCAGCCGUCGUUUAACCCCCUGUACCCCUCCACCACAGCCUUGACCCCGACCUACGUUCUGACAAACCCCAGUGCUCCAAUGCAGAAUGCAACACACACGCAACCGGCCAUGUUGGUGGCCAUCCCGAACGGUCGCACGAUGGUGCAGGGUGCGGGUGAUGUGAUGUACAUGGUUUUGGCGUCGUCUGCGCAGCAGAUGCAGUCAACCAGCGCGAUCUACUAAGCACCAGCACCUCAUGCCAUGGGCGACGCGCCACUUGCGCCAGCGCAGUCGAGGAUUUUGGGGGUAUGUCCCUCAUCGGCCUCUGCGUCCCACGCCUCGAACACCUUGCUGCUGCCUUCCCUCCUUUCCAUCUGCUUUUUUUCCUCCUCCCUCCCUUCGUGUCUUCCCUUUGUUCGGCUCCUUGCUUGUAUUUUUGUCGGCCUCGCUUCUCUCUUUUGUUGUUUUGUUUUUAUGCCCGGCUUUGGCGUUUUGCGUCCUAUUUUCUUCCAUCUCACAUCUCUGUGUGCGUGUUUGUGAGUGUGUCUAUUCCCUCGUGCUUUCUUGUUUCUCGGCCCAUCAUCUUCCCUCCCCCCCCCUUUCUGCCUCUCGCGUGCUUUGAUAUCCUGUAAAGGAUGUUACUGGGCACUCUCUCCUCUCGUCUUCCCCCCCCCCUCUCUGAUUCUUUUUGUCGGUGUUCUCGCUUUCUUUUCUUUCUGCCUGUGCCUCCUCCUCCUCCUUCCCCUCUCCCCCACUUGCUGAUACUUCGUCCUCCUUUCUUCACCCGCACGCUUUCUUCCUGUUGUUGUCGUUUCUUCUAUCGAUGUGAGAUUCACGUGGUCCAUGCGGGAUUUGGUUUUUGGUGUUGUGACGUAUCUCUCCGUAUACUCUCUGUCGCCGCUGUGCACCGUUUCCGUAUGCCGCCUCUCUUACUCUUCUCGGCCCCCGUCGCUCUUCUUCUCCCGCAUCUAUUGUGGUUAUUCGCCUGCUGAGGGCGAGGAAUGAAGGGGGAGGAAGGAGGAGGCGGAGGGUGAGGCCAACAGGAUUAGAUGUUCGUGCUCCCCCUUCUUUUUCCCCACUCCUUCCUUCUCUACUCCCCGUUGGUUUCUUUUGUUCCGUUUGCCCUCUCCUUUUCUCCACUCGCCACGCCGCCGACUUUUCUUCUGUCUUUAACCCCCCCCUCCCCUUUCGAUCUUCGCUUGUCGUGCGCACUUUUGACUACUUAGCUUGAAAGUUACCCUUGUCUCUUCUUACUCCCCUCUCUACUUCCUUCACACACCCUUCCUUAUACAUCAAUCAUCAUGAUCGCUGUCGUUUUACUAUUAUUUCCCGCCGACUUCCUUGUCUGCUGCGCGCCUUCAUAACCCUCCCAGCGACAGGAAAGCGAGAGAAUCAGCAAGGUAAGGCCUCCGACAAAGGGAACUCUCCACUUCGAGCACACACGCGCGCAAGUCUGCAUACCCGAUGAACUGCCCGUACGUGUGUUUUUGUGUGCGUGUUUAUAGUCUGCUCUUCUCCAUCCCGCUCUUAGCGUGUGCCUGCGCGGUGUGUGUGUGUGUGUGUGUGUGUGCACCUUGACACGUCUGCGUCACCGUUUCUCGUCCGCUCGCCAACGGCAAAAGAGAAGACGCCCCCACACGCACACGGCAACAGAGAAACAACUUUUCGCUUUCCCGUUUUUUUUUCUGCUCUCUCCUUCUCUCCCUCCUCCCUCUCCUUUUUGCUUUUUACUGCUUCGACACUCGUUCUUUGUGUCAUGGUAUUGUGUCUUGUUUCUGCCUCGCUGCUGCUGCCGUGUGUGUGUGUGCGUGCGUCUCCCUCUUUGUUUUCCUUCCGUUCUAUCAUUACCAUCUGGAGACUCCUUUUUUUUCCCUUGUUUGCUUGGUGGUGGUGUUAUCGCUAUCUUCUCACACGCUAAACGCUUCGCCUGUCGUUUGCUUUGCUUCCACCUCCUCCCCCUUCUUCGGAUUCAAAAUGGGCCUGUCGUCUUUCUCGCUUACCCGCUCGCUGUGCGUGGGUAAAUGUUCAGGUGUGGGCAUGUGUGUGUGUGUGUAUGUGCGUGUUUGUGUUGGAGAUGCAGACCAGAAUAACCGGGCGCUUGCCUUGUCUACUGUGUGCGUGAAAGAGAGCGGUAGUGUGCACACAAGCGUCUGAUUGUGCUUGCCCCCGCACCCCACACGUACCCCACAACGUCUGCCCGAUAGAGGCGUCUCCCUUUCUUAUAGUUCCACCCCGUCUUUGUGUUUGUUUCUGGUCCACACCUUACGUGCUCUGUCACUUCUUACCUUCUGUGCUGCUUUGGUGAAUAUUUUUUUUUCGUCUCUUUCGUCGUCGUCACGCUGGUGCAGCUCUUCUUUCGCUCUCUCUCUGCCCGUCCACGUCUGGAUGACGUGCCCUUUUAUCUUGCGUGCGCCGUGUGGGACGUGCUGGCCGUCCUCCUCCACACGCUCCCCCCUCCCCUCCGUAUGCGGGGGGAGAGCGUACCCAAGAAGCACCCAGAAAAUGAAAAAAAGGAAGCAUUUAGGUCGACGAUGGAGUAAGCACGAGUGCACAUGGAGAAGACACACAAAAAUGCAAUCAGUACCAAACAGAAGGCAGAAAUCAGAAAACAAAAUCGAACGCACACACACAGACACUCACAGACAGAUACGGCCUUUGUGGCUUGUCCUCCAGCCCCUUCCCCCCUCCUCGCUUUCUCUCCCGUUUUUGAUUCCUCUCCGUGCUCUCUGCGUUCCCUCUCGGUCUCCAGUCCUUUACUGCUUAUUUUUGCCUCGCCGUUCUUUCCUUGUUCGUUCCUUUGUUUAUUUUUGCCGCGUCGGCUCGUUUUUCUUUUCCUCCUUUUUUUUUCCGGGUUUGUGCUCCUCGCUUGUGUGCAUGCGUCUUGCUGGCGGUAGGGCGAUGUUGUAGGGGAAUGACGCUGCCACGUUGCAUUCGCUUUUUCUAAAAGAGAAGGCCAAGGUCCUCGUCAAUCAGAACGGCUUUGAUGUUUUCACUUCUGCUUCUCUGUUGGCUGCGUUUCUCUUUUCGUUGUUUCUCUUCGCGUGCGGUCUGUCGUCACUUCUGUUUUUCACUUCUGCCAUCUAUGUGCGUCAGUUCACACCGACACGGGAUAGAGAGCUUGCCCGACCGGCCAGCAACUAAAUGCAGCGUAAGAGAGAGUGGGAAAGGCGGGGAUAUGGGACUCGUGGACUAGAGGAAGGCGGUUAACUACGUCAGCCCCCUCCCCUCCCCCUCUUUUUUUUUCUACCCAAGCAUGUGAGAAGGUAUUUUUUCUCAUCGCUGCUUUUGUUCAUUUUUUUGUGGGGGUCCUGCGACGUCUUUUGUGCGUGUGCGUGUUUCCUCCCUCUCUUUUCCCUCUUUUUCUUUGUUUGGCCACUUCUUUCCUCUUUCUGUACCGCGUACUUUUCCUUUGUUUUUGUUUUUUUUCUCAUGGAGGGCAGUUCUCAUCAUUAAUAACACAAAUCUGUGCUGGAGCGCCAGCGUAAUGGAGACAUGAAUAUGUGUGUGCUAGUGUGUGUGUGUGUGUGGCGAUGCUGUCGAUACACUUGGACCGUCGCACACACACACACACACACACACACAGACACACAGACACAGACACAGACAUAGACGAGCACAAGAAUAACUGCACCUAUCCUUGUGAGUGUGUGUGUGUGUGUUGCGCGUAGAGAUGCAAGCGCACUCACAUGCAGGCCUGUGCGUACACGCAAUAACACUUGUAUGAGGCGUAAAGUAUGCAUGAGCACAGACAAAGUCCCCCCUCUCCUAUUUAUGCGAUGCGUGGGCGUGGCUUUCUUCGUUUUCCCUUUUUUGUUUCCCUCCCCCCGUUCCUCUAGGUGCUCUCACAUGCACACGCAAAGGCGCAAUGCAGCUGCUCGCUUCGACCUCCCCCCUCCCCCUCCUCCUCUUCGGUCAUGAAGAGACAGCAUUAGCCAACUGUUUCCUCUGUUUGUUUGUUUUUCUUUCUCACGUGUGUCUAUGUGACGACGCUGCAUGCUCAAGAACUUCUGCUGCUAGUGCUGUUGCUGCUUAUGAGCGAUUUCAUUUCUCAGAAGCCCUCCCCCUUUUUUCCCCAAUCGCCGGUUUGCUUCCCCACCAAGUGUGUGUGUGUGUGUGUGUGUGUGUGUGACAGCCUAUUCUUACUUGCCAAUACGUUAUUUUUCUUCUCACAACGCCUGCUGCUCCCCACCCCUUCCCCUCUCUUCUCUUAUGUUUCUUUCGUUUUUUUUUUUGCAUUUUCCUCUGUGAUGUACACAGGGUGUGUGUCUCUCACCCUGCACCUGUCCUUCUUUCUUUCUCGCCUGCUCGCCCCCGUCCCCUGCCACUUUUUUUUGUUUGUCGCUUUCCUUUUUUUUUCUCUAUCGGUGUGUGUGUGUGUGUAUUCUGCAACAGCGCUGCCUUGUGUUUUUGGUUGCUGUGCCUUUCUCUAUUUUUGGUUUAGGUGUGUGUGUGUGUGUGUGCUCGUUUCCGCGUGGGUGUGUGUAUUCGGAGGGCGCGUGUGUCGUGCCUCAAGCUUCGUCCUCCUCCUGCUUCUUCGCGCGUUACAGAUGUGGUUGAUGGUGCUGUCUGUGCUUUGGCCCAGCCUUGUACGUGAGCAGACGGUCUGCCGUGUGCGGCGCGUAUGUCACCCGUCUGCCUGUCACACAGCACAAACAGAGGCACGCGCUCUCACGUGUCUUCUCUCAUCGCGGUGCGGCAGAGAAAAUGACGCGCGCAACGUCACUCAAGAUCGCACACACAAGCACAGUUGAAGUACCGACGGGCAUCGCUGCAGCUGCCCGCCGCGGGCUCCUUUGUUUCUUUUGGCUCCCUAGUCUUGUCACUUGGGCGGUUGCUCUGCAUCGGACUGGUGCCCCCAAUAUAAACACGCACCAUGUCUUGCUGAGGCAGUUAGCACAAGGCUAGAGAAGAAGGCACGCGGGAGAUGGGGCAGCGGCAGACGGCUAAGUCAGCUCUGAGACGGCGGUUGGGCAUACCGAAAAGAGGGAGGUGGCCUGUGGCGUUGAGCAGGUGCUGAGGACAAGCUCGCGUCUCCAUUGCAUUGUGCGUGGCCCUCAUCUUCUCUCCAUCUCCCCCCCCCCCCCAAGCUGCCCCCUCCUUCCUCAGCUACUGGACGAGCAGGCUGCCGCCGACGCUCCUACCUCCACUGCCUUCCCCCAUCCCCUUUUGAGUUAUUUUUGUGUGUUCACUUCGUAGACGUUCUCAUGUUUACUUUUUGUUUCGCAGCCGUCAUGACAGCCUUCUCUCUCCCCCAACACACACACGCACUUGUGCAUGCACACAUACAGCCCUCUCCUCCUUUCAAUAUAUUUUGCUCGGCACAUAUUUCUUACGCGCGCCCCCGCGGCUGGCGCGGUGGAAGAGGGCUGGGGGAUGGCGGCAGCCGCUCUCCUUUACCUAACUCUUCUUCUCUCUUCUCCCCCUCCUCGCCCGCGCCUCUGUUUGUUUUGUGCAUUGGCAAGUGUGUGUGUGUGUGUGUGUGUGUGUGUGUGUGUGUGUGUGUGCGUGUGGUUACAUCCUUUAUUUUCGGGUAUUCCAUCUUUUUGGUCUCAGUGUUAUUUUGUUUUCUUCUGUCCUUCGGAUUCCAUCGUCUGCGUAGGAGUGUCUCGCCGCCGCAGUGCCCUCCCUCCCUCCGUCAGCACCUUUCCAUGUAAGGAAGCUCCGCGCGCACAGAGGCACGCACUUGGCCAAAACACACACACACACACACACACACAACUUCGACCUCGAAUCGGGUUAUUAUUUUCGCAGACAGUUGCAGCGGCAGAAGGCGAAACCGAAGUCAUGCAUACUCGAGAUCAUCCUCGUUUCGGACACGAGCACCCACACCCCGCACCCGCACUCGCACGUGUGCGCCUUUUGUGCGCAACACGAACAGAUUAGAGAAAAGAAAACGAAUAAAGAAGAGCAACAAGAUGAUGACUGCAAAGAGAAACAACAAAAAAAACGAAUGCAUCCAACACAGCAGCAGCCACAACCACAAGCGAGUAAUGCACCCUGACCUGAGCAGCGUUGUCGUUCUUCUACUUUUCUUUGCGCUUUCUUCCAUCGACGCAUGCGCUAUUCCUUUCCAUUUUUUUUUCCCUUUGAUGUGCUUUUUUCAUCCUUUUUUCCGUCUUUCUACACCAG